rnacentral:tRNA from 1 species
GAAGAGAUAGGAUAAGGUAAUCCAGUGGGCUCAUCCCCCAAUGAUGCUGUUUUAAUAAGCAGCUCUCUUUU